rnacentral:rRNA from 1 species
GACGAACGCUGGCGGCGUGCUUAACACAUGCAAGUCGAACGGAAAGGCCCUGCUUUUGUGGGGUGCUCGAGUGGCGAACGGGUGAGUAACACGUGAGUAACCUGCCCUUGACUUUGGGAUAACUUCAGGAAACUGGGGCUAAUACCGGAUAGGAGCUCCUGCUGCAUGGUGGGGGUUGGAAAGUUUCGGCGGUUGGGGAUGGACUCGCGGCUUAUCAGCUUGUUGGUGGGGUAGUGGCUUACCAAGGCUUUGACGGGUAGCCGGCCUGAGAGGGUGACCGGCCAAAUUGGGACUGAGAUACGGCCCAGACUACUACGGGAGGCAGCAGUGGGGAAUAUUGCACAAUGGGCGGAAGCCUGAUGCAGCAACGCCGCGUGCGGGAUGAAGGCCUUCGGGUUGUAAACCGCUUUCGCCUGUGACGAAGCGUGAGUGACGGUAAUGGGUAAAGAAGCACCGGCUAACUACGUG